GAUGAACGCUAGCGACAGGCUUAACACAUGCAAGUCGAGGGGCAGCACAGGUAGCAAUACCGGGUGGCGACCGGCGCACGGGUGAGUAACGCGUAUGCAACUUACCUAUCAGAGGGGGAUAACCCGGCGAAAGUCGGACUAAUACCGCAUGAAGCAGGGGCCCCGCAUGGGGAUAUUUGCUAAAGAUUCAUCGCUGAUAGAUAGGCAUGCGUUCCAUUAGGCAGUUGGCGGGGUAACGGCCCACCAAACCGACGAUGGAUAGGGGUUCUGAGAGGAAGGUCCCCCACAUUGGUACUGAGACACGGACCAAACUCCUACGGGAGGCAGCAGUGAGGAAUAUUGGUCAAUGGCCGAGAGGCUGAACCAGCCAAGUCGCGUGAGGGAUGAAGGUUCUAUGGAUCGUAAACCUCUUUUAUAAGGGAAUAAAGUGCGGGACGUGUCCCGUUUUGUAUGUACCUUAUGAAUAAGGAUCGGCUAACUCCGUGCCAGCAGCCGCGGUAAUACAGAGGAUCCGAGCGUUAUCCGGAUUUAUUGGGUUUAAAGGGUGCGUAGGCGGCCUUUUAAGUCAGCGGUGAAAGUCUGUGGCUCAACCAUAGAAUUGCCGUUGAAACUGGGGGGCUUGAGUAUGUUUGAGGCAGGCGGAAUGCGUGGUGUAGCGGUGAAAUGCAUAGAUAUCACGCAGAACCCCGAUUGCGAAGGCAGCCUGCCAAGCCAUUACUGACGCUGAUGCACGAAAGCGUGGGGAUCAAACAGGAUUAGAUACCCUGGUAGUCCACGCAGUAAACGAUGAUCACUAGCUGUUUGCGAUACACUGUAAGCGGCACAGCGAAAGCGUUAAGUGAUCCACCUGGGGAGUACGCCGGCAACGGUGAAACUCAAAGGAAUUGACGGGGGCCCGCACAAGCGGAGGAACAUGUGGUUUAAUUCGAUGAUACGCGAGGAACCUUACCCGGGUUUGAACGCAUUCGGACCGAGGUGGAAACACCUUUUCUAGCAAUAGCCGUUUGCGAGGUGCUGCAUGGUUGUCGUCAGCUCGUGCCGUGAGGUGUCGGCUUAAGUGCCAUAACGAGCGCAACCCUUGCCACUAGUUACUAACAGGUAAAGCUGAGGACUCUGGUGGGACUGCCAGCGUAAGCUGCGAGGAAGGCGGGGAUGACGUCAAAUCAGCACGGCCCUUACAUCCGGGGCGACACACGUGUUACAAUGGCGUGGACAAAGGGAAGCCACCUGGCGACAGGGAGCGAAUCCCCAAACCACGUCUCAGUUCGGAUCGGAGUCUGCAACCCGACUCCGUGAAGCUGGAUUCGCUAGUAAUCGCGCAUCAGCCAUGGCGCGGUGAAUACGUUCCCGGGCCUUGUACACACCGCCCGUCAAGCCAUGGGAGCCGGGGGUACCUGAAGUCCGUAACCGCGAGGAUCGGCCUAGGGUAAAACUGGU
rnacentral:rRNA from 1 species